UCUCGGGAAGCCAUGGCUUGCCUCCCCAACCUGGUCAGCAAGAGUAGCACCCAGCUGGGGGAGCAGAGCUGCACAGGCGAGGGCGAAGACAACACCAAGCUCCUCGGGUUGCCUAAUAUUGGCAACACCUGCUUCAUGAACUCUGCUCUGCAGUGCCUGCUGGGGCUGCCAGCAUUUUGCAGAGACAUCCUGAGACAGCAGAACAUCUGGAUUUCCUCCCCCUCCUCUAAACUGCUAUGCUGCUUUGCCAAGUUACAUCAGGCCAGGCUUUCUGGAGGCACUGUUAAUGCUAAGAACAAGGAAAAUAAGAAAAUCCUUCAAACAGUCAAGCGCUGCCUUUCCGUUGUCAAUGAGGACUAUGAGGAAGACUAUGAACAGGAUGCCCAUGAAUGUGUGUUGCUCCUCCUCUUUCAGCUGAAGGAGGAGGGUAUGGCAUUAAAGGGCUCACCAGAGCCAUACACCUGCCCCGUGAAGCAGUUAGAAUUCAAGCUGAAGACUUCCCGUACCUGCACCAGCUGUGGAGUUAUAGUGUAUGGUCAGGAGGAUUAUAAUCACCUGUCACUGAGCCUGAGCCAUUACCUGACACACAGCCUGGACCUCUACUUUAAGCCAUCUGCGUUAGAGUGUGCAUGCAGGGUGUGCUCAGGCAGCACAGCAUCUGUGACUAGGCACUUCCUCACGCUGCCCCGGGUCCUAAUGCUUCAUAUCAAGCGAUUUACUGCAGGCUACUGGGAGCCAGAGAAGUUGGAUGAUCCCAUGUCCAUCCCUGCAGAAAUAACCCUCCCAGCCGUAUGUGGGAAGACAGCCCAUGUCCAGUAUGGAGCCAGGGCAAGCUCCCUGGGUAGAAACAACAUGGACAACACACCUGCAAACUCCCCGAAAGGCACCCUUGAUAGACCAGAGACACCAGCCAGACAAUAUCUACAAAUUGUCAAGUGUGAUCUCACAUCUGGGAGACAACAUGUAUACAGGCCACUACAUCAGUGAUGUUUUGGACAGCCGUGGCAGUGGGUGGCUCUGCCUGGAUGACGCACAUGUCUUGAGGACAGAUGAGGCCACUGUGCUGAAGGAGAUUGCACAGACUGCCUACAUCCUGUUCUAUGUCUGCAGUAGAGAAGGUGAAGGAGACCAGGCCCCUCACUACCAGGAGAAGCACCAGGAGAACCCAUCAUUAAACUCAGGGAGAGGCACAGCGCUCAGGGACCACCUGGAGUAGCACGUACCACACACCAAGAAACAUCAGAUUAAUCGAAUUAGGCUGCCCUACACCACCAUCAACUGCCUUAGACCACCAUCAAGCUGCCUUAGACCACCAUCAAGCUGCCCUACACCCCCAUCAGACUGCCCUACUCCACCAUCAAGCUGCCCUAUACCACCAUCAAGCUGCCCUAGACCACCAUCAAGCUGCGUUACACCACCAUCAAGCUGCCCUACACCACCAUCAAGCUGCCUUAGACCACCAUCAACUGCCUUAGACCACCAUCAAGCUGCCCUACACCACCAUCAAGCUGCCCUAGACCACCAUCAAGCCUCCCUACACCACCAUCAAGCUGCCCUACUCCACCAUCAAGCUGCCCUAUACCACCAUCAAGCUGCCCUAGACCACCAUCAAGCUGCCCUAGACCACCAUCAAGCUGCCCUAGACCACCAUCAAGCUGCCCUACACCACCAUCAAGCUGCCCUAGACCACCAUCAAGCCUCCCUACACCACCAUCAAGCUGCCCUACACCACCAUCAGACUAUCCUAGACCACCAUCAAGCUGCCCUAGACCACCAUCAGACUAUCCUAGACCAUUAGGACAUCACACUGCCCUAAACCACCUGGACACCAAGCUGCCCUAGACCACCAGAACACCAGGCUGCCCUAGACCACCAGAACACCAGGCUGCCCUAGACCACCUGGACAUCAGGCUGCCCUAGACCACCAGAAGAAACAGCCUACACCACAAAGCAUGUACCCACUCUAGGCCAUCUACUGUAUGUUUACAAUUAUAUAAAUAUAAAACA